GCUAUCCAGGGCUGGCUGAAGGGCCCGGGACACUUGCUCCGCUCUCUCUUGGAGCCGCCCGGAACGCGGGGCGCGAGGCUGCUGCAGGGCCCCCAGGAAGUCUGGCAGUUGGGAGGGCAGUGUGAAGACGGGCACGGUGCGGAAAAGGGCGGGUACGGCGUCCGGGUGGAGCAGCCUGUCGAAGCAGGCCCCCACGUAGCUGCCGGGCGCCCGGCCCUGCAAGAAGUCGGGCAGCACGCAGCUGAGCGAGGCGCGGAAGGCGUCGUGCGGGCCGUGCGCCCCGGGCCCGGACACCCCAUCCUGUAGCCACUCGCUGCACAGCGCCACCGCACCGGGAGAGAAGAGCAAGACCACCACGCCGCCCUCCUGCAGGGUCUGGCGCCGCUGCGCGUGAAACCAAGCCACGGGCCCCUGCGCGCUCAGUUCACGACGGCUCCACAGGUCUACGGCCACGCGCAGCGGCAGCUGGCACAGGGCCGACGCCAGGGCGCCCACCAGGCGCUCGAAACCCGAGUCAUCGGCUGAGUAGAGGAGCAGAGCCGCGCGGCCCCUGGCGGCCGCUGCCGGAGAAAACAGAUGGGGAGGGAAGAGGUGAGCUGGCACAGGCCUGGCUCCCCGGGGGCGGCCCUCCGCCCAGCGCUUGCUCCCACUCACCCCCCGAGCGGACGUCCUGUUUCAAGAGCCUCAGCCACCCUGUUAGGGGAGAGGGGCGGAGGCAGCCAGUGAGCUCGGCCGCCGCUUUCCCUCGGAGAACUCCCACAGCCACUCUGGUCCUCCCCCAGGGGAAUGGGGAGCCGGGAAGCGCUCACCUUUCGCGUGAUCCUUUUUGAGAAGGAGGAUGAGGGAAAGCGCAGCGGCAAAGAGUAGGCAGGCCAGCCACACGAGGGCCCAGCGCUUGUGGAUGUCUGGGAGACCCAGAGAAGAAGAGUUAGAAACUUACCCUCCACAGAGAAGAAAAACUGAGACUUAACAGAAAUGAAUUGGGCCGGGUGCGGUGGCUCAUGCCUUUAUAUAAUCCCAGCACUUCGGGAGGCCGAGGCGGGCAGAUCACGAGGUCAGGACAUCAAGACCAUCCUGGCUAACACGGUGAAACCCCGUCUCUACUAAAAAUACAAAAAAUUAGCCGGGCGUGGUGGCACACGCCUGUAAUCCCAGCUACUCGGGAGGCUGAGGCAAGAGAAUCGCUUGAACUCGGGAGGCAGAGGUUGCAGUGAGCCGAGAUCGCGCCAUUGCACUCCAGCCUGGGCGACAGGGUGAGACUCCUCUCAAAACAAAACAAAACAAAACAAAAAACGAAGAAAUGAUUUGCCCAGAGUCCACAGCACAGUGUCAGAGCCAGUGGAUGAAUAUAGCUCCAUCUGUUUAGGGGUCUUUGAAUAAGUAAUGUCACCCUCUGCCUCAGUUUUCUCCUCUGUAAAGUUGUACCUGUGUCAUAGGGUUGGUGUGAGGACUAAAUAUAUUAAUACAUAUAAAGCUUAACACAAUGUGUUAAUACAUACUUAACACAAUGCCGAGCAUCUUAAGUGCUAAAAUGUCAGCUGUUUUUCUCCCCUAAGCUAGGGUUGCUGGGCCCUUGAUCUUGCUGUCCUGGGUGUCUGCAACUACCUGGUGUCCCUGCCCUGUCUUUUUUUUUUUUUUUUUACCUCCAAUUGAUUUGCCUUGAAUUGAUUCAUGACAGCCUCAGAGAUCUUUUAAAAAUAUAAAUUUGGGCCAGGUGCGGUGACUCACGACUAUAAUCCCAGCACUUUGGGAGGCCGACGCGGGCGGAUCACGAGGUCAGGAGUUCAAGACCAGCCUGGCCAAGAUGGUGAAACCCCAUCUCUACUAAAAAUACAAAAAUUAGCAGGGCAUGGUGGCAGGCGCCUAUUAAUCCCAGCUACCCGGGAGGCUGAGGUAGAGAAUUGCUUGAACCCGGGAGGCAGAGGUUGCAGUUAGCCGAGAUCGCGCCAUUGCACUCCAGCCUGGGCAACAGAGUGAGACUCUGCCUCAAAAAUAAAUAAAAAAAUAAGUAUAUAUAU
rnacentral:lncRNA from 10 species